rnacentral:rRNA from 1 species
GGCGGGCUGGAACCUCUCGGGGUUACAGCCUUGCUGAAUUAUUCACCCUUGUCUUUUGCGUACUUCUUGUUUCCUUGGUGGGUUCGCCCACCACUAGGACAAACAUAAACCUUUUGUAAUUGCAAUCAGCGUCAGUAACAAAUUAAUAAUUACAACUUUCAACAACGGAUCUCUUGGUUCUGGCAUCGAUGAAGAACGCAGCGAAAUGCGAUAAGUAGUGUGAAUUGCAGAAUUCAGUGAAUCAUCGAAUCUUUGAACGCACAUUGCGCCCUUUGGUAUUCCAAAGGGCAUGCCUGUUCGAGCGUCAUUUGUACCCUCAAGCUUUGCUUGGUGUUGGGCGUCUUGUCUCUAGCUUUGCUGGAGACUCGCCUUAAAGUAAUUGGCAGCCGGCCUACUGGUUUCGGAGCGCAGCACAAGUCGCACUCUCUAUCAGCAAAGGUCUAGCAUCCAUUAAGCCUUUUUUUCAACUUUUGACCUCGGAUCAGGUAGGGAUACCCGCUG